UACAGAGGGUGCGAGCGUUAAUCGGAAUUACUGGGCGUAAAGCGUGCGUAGACGGUUAUUUAAGUCGGAUGUGAAAGCCCCGGGCUCAACCUGGGAAUUGCAUUCGAGACUGAAUAGCUAGGGUGCGGUAGAGGGAAGCGGAAUUUCGGGUGUAGCGGUGAAAUGCGUAGAUAUCGGAAGGAACAUCAGUGGCGAAAGCGGCUUCCUGGACCAGCACCGACGUUCAGGCACGAAAGCGUGGGGAGCAAACAGG
rnacentral:rRNA from 1 species